rnacentral:lncRNA from 1 species
UUUCUGCCACCCCUCUGGGAUUCUUACUGCCGACAGAGCAGAUCAGCCUGACACCUGUAUUCUCACGUAAUGCACAGAUAAGCGCUCAGAAAGGACAGGGCCUUGCAGUGUGCCCCUGGCAUAGGGAGGACUCACAUUUCAUUCCAUGGAAGGACUUCGAUUGGUGGAGGCUGCCUAAACCAGCACCUGUGAGACUUCCUUGUGCAGGCAUGAAUUCAAUUUUUCCAGCCCUCAGGAUUUUAGAAACAACCUUUGGAAGGCAUCACAUAAGACCAUGCAUUCAACAUCUCAGUACAGACAUUACAGUCACCAAGCCCA